AAGUCGUAACAAGGUCUCCGUUGGUGAACCAGCGGAGGGAUCAUUACCGAGUUAUACAACUCAUCAACCCCUGUGAACUUACCUAUAACGUUGCCUCGGCGGGAACAGACGGCCCCGUAAAACGGGCCGCCCCCGCCAGAGGACCCCUAACUCUGUUUUUAUAAUGUUUUUCUGAGUAAACAAGCAAAUAAAUUAAAACUUUCAACAACGGAUCUCUUGGCUCUG
rnacentral:misc_RNA from 1 species